rnacentral:rRNA from 1 species
AACACAUGCAAGUCGAACGGACGAGAGGAGCUUGCUCCUCAAGUUAGUGGCGAACGGGUGAGUAACGCGUGAGCAACCUGCCUUCAGAGGGGGACAACGGUUGGAAACGACCGCUAAUACCGCAUGAUGCAUUUUGGUCGCAUGAUCGGGAUGCCAAAGAUUUAUCGCUGAAAGAUGGGCUCGCGUCUGAUUAGAUAGUUGGUGGGGUAACGGCCUACCAAAGCGACGAUCAGUAGCCGGCCUGAGAGGGCGGACGGCCACAUUGGGACUGAGACACGGCCCAGACUCCUACGGGAGGCAGCAGUGGGGGAUAUUGCACAAUGGGCGCAAGCCUGAUGCAGCGACGCCCGCGUGAGUGAAGAAGUAUUUCGGUAUGUAAAGCUCUAUCAGCAGGGAAGAAAGGCCCGCCAAGGGACCGAUGGACGGUACCCUUGGACCAAGAAGCCCCGGCGUAACUACGUGCCAGCCGCGGC